rnacentral:rRNA from 1 species
CCUACGGGAGGCAGCAGUGGGGAAUUUUGCGCAAUGGGCGAAAGCCUGACGCAGCAACGCCGCGUGAGUGAUGAAGGCCUUCGGGUCGUAAAGCUCUGUCAGAGGGGAAGAACCGCCAGGAGGCUAAUACCCUUUUGGUCUGACGGUACCCUCAAAGGAAGCACCG